AUACGUUCGCAUUCAUACUUUGUCACCCAACCAGUUGGAACGGUUUUGCUUUGCAGGCUCUACCUAUACAUAAAAAUUUUGUGGGGUAAUGGGACACAACUUUAGUAUUUUUUACUGGUCUAGAUGAAUACUUUGGGGGUACUUGUCCUCCUCGCUGCUGUCGUCCUUAUCGUGCAAUCCCGUGCCUCCGCCCUGGUUGAAAAUGAGGACGGCUUGAGUAGUACUAGAGAGAAGCGAUGCAUUGGGAGUGGAGCCUGUUCCUGUUCAAGUGCCAUGAACCCCUUUGCUGCCGGAGAGUGUUGCAAAGGAUCCUGUUCUCCUGGAAGAAAUACAUUUAACACUCUAAUCCUUUGCUACUGCAAAGACUACUAAUGAGAUAAAUAGGUGCAACAUUCGAAAGAUGAGGAUUACUAAGAUUUGACGGUUAAAUUAAACAAUUAUUUUCGAAUAUUCAACAACUUGGAAAACUAAUUCUAAGCAAAAUUUUAGUCCAAAUAAUUUUUAAAAUUAUAAAGAUUUCACGAUUAAAUUAAAAUAAAUUGGCGAAUUAAUAUUUUAA